rnacentral:tRNA from 1 species
GUGGCUCAGUGGUAGAGUGCUUGCCUAGCAGGCAUGAGGCCCUGGGUUCGAUUCCUCAGC